rnacentral:rRNA from 1 species
UACGUAGGUGGCGAGCGUUGUCCGGAUUUACUGGGCGUAAAGAGCGCGCAGGCGGCUGGUCAAGUCCGAUGUGAAAGCUCCCGGCUUAACUGGGAAAUUGCAUCGGAAACUGAUCGGCUGGAAGGUGGGAGAGGGUAGCGGAAUUCCCGGUGUAGUGGUGAAAUGCGUAGAUAUCGGGAGGAACACCAGUGGCGAAAGCGGCUACCUGGCACAUUCUUGACGCUGAGGCGCGAAAGCUAGGGGAGCAAACGGG